rnacentral:rRNA from 1 species
CCUACGGGAGGCAGCAGUAGGGAAUAUUGGACAAUGGGUGCGAGCCUGAUCCAUCCAUGCCGCGUGCAGGAAGACGGCCUUCUGGGUUGUAAACUGCUUUUGCCAGGGGAUAAAAAGUCCCUGCGGGGAAAAUUGAAGGUACCUGGUGAAUAAGCCACGGCUAACUACGUGCCAGCAGCCGCGGUAAUACGUAGGUGGCAAGCGUUGUCCGGAUUUAUUGGGUUUAAAGGGUGCGUAGGCGGUCCAUUAAGUCAGUGGUGAAAUACGGCAGCUUAACUGUCGAGGUGCCAUUGAUACUGGAGGACUUGAGUACAGACGAGGUAGGCGGAAUUGACGGUGUAGCGGUGAAAUGCUUAGAUAUCGUCAAGAACACCGAUAGCGAAGGCAGCUUACUAGACUGUAACUGACGCUGAGGCACGAAAGUGUGGGGAUCAAACAGGAUUAGAUACCCUGGUAGUCCACACUGUAAACGAUGAUUACUCGAUGUUGGCGAUACACAGCCAGCGUCUUAGCAAAAGCGAUAAGUAAUCCACCUGGGGAGUACGCCCGCAAGGGUGAAACUCAAAUGAAUUGACGG